rfam:Nomascus leucogenys chromosome 21, whole genome shotgun sequence.
AUGCAAUUUUAUUCAGUAAAGCAAAUGAUUAAGGGUCUUGGGGUCAAAGUGAUCUCAACCUAUUCUCAAACUUUAAAUGCGUAAGAAGCCUGGCUCACUGGCAUGGAACUGGGCAUGCAAAAACC